AGAUUGAACGCUGGCGGAAUGCUUUACACAUGCAAGUCGAGCGGCAGCGCGGGGGCAACCCUGGCGGCGAGCGGCGAACGGGUGAGUAAUACAUCGGAACAUGUCCAGUUGUGGGGGAUAGGCCCGGCGAAAGCCGGAUUAAUACCGCAUGAGCUCGAGAGAGGAAAGCGGGGGACCGUAAGGCCUCGCGCGACUGGGUUGGCCGAUGUCCGAUUAGCUAGUUGGUGGGGUAAAGCCUACCAAGGCGAUGAUCGGUAGCUGGUCUGAGAGGAUGAUCAGCCACACUGGGACUGAGACACGGCCCAGACUCCUACGGGAGGCAGCAGGUGGGGAAUUUUGGACAAGUGGGGCAACCCGUGAUCCGAGCCAUUCCGCGUGAGUGAAGAAGGCUUGGGUGUAAGUCUACUUU
rnacentral:rRNA from 1 species